CUAACUGCUGUUCUUCUUCAAAGAAAUUAGGGCAGCAACCUGCUAUUCUCUCUGCGGAUUGGGAAGAAUUCUCUCAGCUGUCCUUCAAUUUUUCAUCAUUCUGCAGACGCCAGAGAGGAAAACGUGCUGGCUGAAUCCAGAAUGAUGAUAUCCGAUUGCCACAAGCGUCUAGAAGCUGCACUGACCUUAAAGGAACCUUGGUACUAUAUCAUUUACCAUUUUCUUGUUUAACAAUUCGACUAAGAUAUAUGCUAGAUAUCUUGUGAAAUUUUAUUUUGUUUGUCAAUGGAAUCAUUGCCUGAAAACCAUUCGCCUCUGCCCAUUACCCAACAGUGCUGCGCGAUGGAUCUCCUUACAUUUAUUUAAUAGAAUAUUAGAAGCAUUUCCAUUCAUUAA